rnacentral:rRNA from 1 species
CUUUACGGAGAAAGCUUUAUGCACCAUUGGAUGAGCCCGCACUUGAUUAGUUUGUUGGUGGGGUAAUGGCCUACCAAGACUGUGAUCAAUAGCUGAUUUGAGAGGAUGAUCAGCCACAUUGGGACUAGACACGGCCCAAACUCCUACGGGAGGCAGCAGUGGGGAAUCUUGCACAAUGGAGGAAACUCUGAUGCAGCGAUGCCGCGUGAGUGAAGAAGGCCCUUGGGUUGUAAAGCUCUUUCGUCGGGGAAGAAAAUGACUGUACCCGAAUAAGAAGG